GGGCUGAUGGCGCAGUUGGUUAGCGCGUCUGCUUUACAUGUGGCUGAAAUUAUAUCACGUCUUCGCAGAAGGUCUUCGGUUCAAACCCGGAUCGGCUCA